GUACAAGCUAAAGAAUGGUCUGCUCACUUGUGCUGUUAUUCCUUCAUAUAGUAGUCUUUUUUUUUUUCCCCUCAGUCAGUACUGAUGGAUGUUCACUAUGCAUUUUAUCCAUAAUACUCUGUUUCACAACAAUGGAUAAUCAAUCAUGUUGUUGUUUGUUUUUUAUUGGGAGGUUUCACAUUAGGAUAUUUUUUGUCCAAUUCUUUAAUUACUCUUACGUAAGAGUGAAUGGAGAAGUAAUGUUAAGCAAUGAAUACAUACUAGAUCUGGGAAAAUAAUGUAUUUCUCAUGACCCCAACAAAUACCUACUGUAGUCCACUCAAAUUGCACUUGAACAUGUGCUCUGUAAUGAAUCACAACUCAACAGUGCUGCUGCCUGUUGAGAAAAAUUGUAAUGGAUACAUUACAUUAUAAAACAGAUAGUUGAAAAUCAGAUUAUG
rnacentral:lncRNA from 1 species